GGAGCAGGAAGGGGAAGCAAGGAGCAGGAAGGGUCUGCAAGGGGUAGGAAGGAUCAGCAAGGAAUUGGAAGAGUGAAAGGGGCAGCAAGGAGCAGGAGGGGUCAGCAAGGAGCAGAAAGGGUCAGCAAGGAGCAGGAUGGGUCAGCAAGGGGCAGGAUGGGUCUGCAAGGGGCAGGAGGGGUCAGCAAGGAGUAGGAAGAGGCAGCAAUGAGUAGGAAGAGGCAGC